rnacentral:rRNA from 1 species
UACAGAGGUCUCAAGCGUUGUUCGGAAUCACUGGGCGUAAAGGGUGCGUAGGCCGCCCGGUAAGUCAGAGGUGAAAUCCCGGAGCUCAACUUCGGAAUUGCCUCCGAUACUGCCGUGCUUGAGGACUGGAGAGGAGUCUGGAAUUCACAGUGGAGCAGUGAAAUGCGUAGAUAUUGUGAGGAACACUAGUGGCGAAGGCGAGACUCUGGACAGUUCCUGACGCUGAGGCACGAAGGCCAGGGGAGCAAACGGG